ACUACCUACGGGGCGCAGCAGUGGGGAAUAUUGGGCAAUGGACGCAAGUCUGACCCAGCAACGCCGCGUGAUGGAAGAAGGCUUUCGGGUUGUAAACUUCUUUUAAGGGGGAAGAGCAGAAGACGGUACCCCUUGAAUAAGCCACGGCUAACUACGUGCCAGCAGCCGCGGUAAUACGUAGGUGGCAAGCAUUGUCCGGAUUUAUUGGGUUUAAAGGGUGCGUAGGCGGAAUAUCAAGUCAGCGGUGAAAAUUCGGGGCUCAACCCCGUCGUGCCGUUGAAACUGAUGUUCUUGAGUGGGCGAGA
rnacentral:rRNA from 1 species